GAUGAAGAACGUAGCGAAACGCGAUAAGUAAUGUGAAUUGCAGAAUCCAGUGAAUCAUCGAAUCUUUGAACGCACAUUGCGCCCGCCAGCAUUCUGGCGGGCAUGCCUGUUCGAGCGUCAUUUCAACCCUCGACCUCCCCUUGGGGAGGUCGGCGUUGGGGACCGGCAGCACACCGCCGGCCCUGAAAUGGAGUGGCGGCCCGUCCGCGGCGACCUCUGCGCAGUAAUACAGCUCGCACCGGGACCCCGACGCGGCCACGCCGUAAAACACCCAACUUCUGAACGUUGACCUCGGAUCAGGUAGGAAUACCCGCUGAACUUAAGCAUAUCAAUAAGCGGAGGA
rnacentral:misc_RNA from 1 species